rnacentral:rRNA from 1 species
AUUGAACGCUGGCGGCAGGCCUAACACAUGCAAGUCGAACGGGUGGCGGACGGGUGAGUAAUGUCUGGGAAACUGCCUGCUGGAGGGGGAUAACUACUGGAAACGGUAGCUAAUACCUCAUACCAUCAGGUGUGCCCAGCUGGGAUUAGCUAGUAGGUGGGGUAACGGCUCACCUGGGCGACGGUCCCUCGCUGGUCUGGGAGGAUGACCAGCCACACUGGAACUGAGACACGGUCCAGAGUCCUACGGGAGGCAGCAGUGGGGAAUAUGGCACAAUGGGCGCAAGCCUGAUGCAGCCAUGGCGCGUGUAUGAAGAAGGCCUUCGGGUUGUAAAGUACUUUCAGCGGGGAUGCGUUACCCGCAGAAGAAGCACCGGCUAACUACGUGCCAGCAGCCGCGGUAAUUC